UACAGAGGGUGCGAGCGUUGUUCGGAAUUAUUGGGCGUAAAGGGCGCGUAGGCGGUGCCACAAGUCACCUGUGAAAUCCCCGGGCUUAACUCGGGGCCUGCAGGCGAAACUGUGGUGCUGGAGUAUGGGAGAGGUGCGUGGAAUUCCCGGUGUAGCGGUGAAAUGCGUAGAUAUCCGGAGGAACACCAAAGGCGAAGGCAAUGUCCUGGCUAUUUCCUGACGCUCAGGGGCGAAAGCUAGGGGAGCGAACGGG
rnacentral:rRNA from 1 species